GCUCGGUUGAGGCUCGCCUUCAGUCAGGUAGGACAUCUCCUCGUUGUCGCAACGGUUGCCGUUGCUGUAGAAUGUGGCACUGGACGACGGUAGACUGGCUAAGAUACGGCGCCAUUUCAGCAUUGCCUGGAGAGACUGAGGAAACCCGCAGAACACCUUGUUCAGGAUAAACAAGCAGUGCUAACUGCUACACAGGGUCGUCCCCUCCCGCAAUCGCUCGUUUCCCUCGAAGCGCCUACCAUCAGCCGACAGUGGCAGCUGAGACACCGGCCGAUUCUCAGCGACGUGCUCACUCUCCUGCUGGACCCAUCUCUCAAGUUCAUGUGCAUUCGUCUCUAUCAGCUGAGAAGGAAAGGACCGGUGCUGUGGACGAGUCGCGGGUGUAGAGGUCCCUCUUCUGCCCUCGUCUUGAGCUGUCAGGCGGAUUCACACAUCAAGCUGGUCUGCCAGAAAACGAGACAUGGACGGUUCUCCGGGCUCGGUGAAAGAGGGGGUGAUGUCUACGAUCUCCGUGGCGAGUGCCGCUAUCAUAAUGCCGCAGGACGCGAGCCGGGAUGAAGAGUGCGGUGGACUGACGCCGUCG